CACGUAGGGGGCGAGCGUUGUCCGGAAUUACUGGGCGUAAAGGGCGCGCAGGCUGUUAUGCGAGUCUGCUGUGAAAUGUACCGGCUCAACCGGUGCCUUGCGGCGGAUACUGCAUAGCUGGAGUACUGGAGAGGGAAGUGGAAUUCCCGGUGUAGCGGUGAAAUGCGUAGAUAUCGGAAGGAACACCGGUGGCGAAGGCAGGUCUCUGGGCAGUAACUGACGCUGAGGAGCGAAAGCAUGGGUAGCGAACAGGAUUAGA
rnacentral:rRNA from 1 species